AGGGCCGUAGCUCAACUGGGUAGAGCGCCGGUCUCCAAAAUCGGCGGUUGCAGGUUCGAGUCCUGCCGGCCCUG
rnacentral:tRNA from 1 species